rnacentral:snoRNA from 1 species
AUCUCAUGAUGUGGACACUUCCGCAGCAUAUUCUUCAACCUAUUCCAGGCUUCAUCAAAGUUCUUGGAGUCGCCCUGACGAAAGACAGAUAUGUCAUGUUUGAGUUU